rnacentral:rRNA from 1 species
AGAGUUUGAUCCUGGCUCAGAUUGAACGCUGGCGGCAUGCCUUACACAUGCAAGUCGAACGGUAACAGGUCUUCGGAUGCUGACGAGUGGCGAACGGGUGAGUAAUACAUCGGAACGUGCCCGAUCGUGGGGGAUAACGCAGCGAAAGCUGUGCUAAUACCGCAUACGAUCUACGGAUGAAAGCAGGGGAUCGCAAGACCUUGCGCGGACGGAGCGGCCGAUGGCAGAUUAGGUAGUUGGUGGGGUAAAGGCUCACCAAGCCGACGAUCUGUAGCUGGUCUGAGAGGACGACCAGCCACACUGGGACUGAGACACGGCCCAGACUCCUACGGGAGGCAGCAGUGGGGAAUUUUGGACAAUGGGCGCAAGCCUGAUCCAGCCAUGCCGCGCGCAGGAUGAAGGCCUUCGGGUUGUAAACUGCUUUUGUACGGAACGAAAAGGUCUUCUCUAAUAAAGAGGGCUCAUGACGGUACCGUAAGAAUAAGCACCGGCUAACUACGUGCCAGCAGCCGCGGUAAU